rnacentral:lncRNA from 1 species
ACACCCCAACUGCAAUCAGAAUCUCCCACCUCCACCGCGCUGAAAAACCAUUGAAGGUGGAAUCAAGAGGUAAAUAUAUAGGCCUCUAUCUGUUUCUGUUAGAGACUUUCAUUCAGUUAUAAAAUCUGUUAGGAGGUUAGGGAAUAAUUCGGUUAGGGACGAAAUUGAAAUGAAAUUCACAUGAAAUUAUGUUGAAAUCUAAACAAAUUGUUAGAGUUGAUUUGAGAUAGAAAUGUGAGUUAAAUUCAACUUAAAUGGGAGUGAAAAAAUGAGUUGGUUAGAGGCUAUAAUGCUAUGUUAAAAUGAUUUGAGUUAGUUAUUUAGUUUAUGAAAGAAAAAUAAUGAAGUUAAGAUGUUAGUUUUGUGCCGAUCUUGUGAUUUUGAAUUAUGCCGGCAUGCGGAAUUUUAGUUAUUGAUUUGAUGACAGUUAGUAUUAUAACUAAAUCUAAAGUUAUGAAAUAAUUAGAUGUUAAAACAAUUAGGCUUGGGUCAUGCUAAUUGAUUGGAAACCUGUUAGUGUAGUCCAAAACACCCUCAUGUUAUACUAACAUUAGUUAUGAAAUAAUUAGAUGUUAAAACAAUUAGGCUUGGGUCAUGCUAAUUGAUUGGAAACCUGUUAGUGUAGUCCAAAACACCCUCAUGUUAUACUAACAUUUAGAAAAAUGUUGUUGUUAGCUUGUUAGUUAGUGAUCAACUGUGGUUAAGUGUUAUUAUUGGCAAACUGAAAUUGAAGUUGGAAAGUCAUUCCCUUGUUAAUACGCUGGAAUUUCAACUUUUGCUGUGAAAAUGUUAGUUGGAAUUAAUGUUAGUUCUUGGGAAUGCAAUGAUAUCCAUGAAUGCUAUGAGUUGUUGUUGCUACAAUCUGCUGCAAUAAUGUUAGAUAGCGAUUAAUUGUUGGAAAUCACUUGACUAAAAAAUAGGGUUUUAGGGUUUUGUUGUGAACUUAGUUGUGCUAGUUAUGUCAUGGCCUUGUCGUGAAUGUAUUGCUAAUGUCUCACACUAUUAUGCCGUUAUGAAACGAUUGCAAACUAAUUUGAUAGCUUCUUUUGUACAGGGCACUUACAGUUGAAGAUGAUAGUUGUGGUGAUGCCUCCUGAGAAAUUUCUACCAUUCUCUAAUAAAUUAAUCCAACUCUAAACUGGUUGGUUAAGAUGAACCUCAAUAAGGUACUCUAGAAUAAAGGGUCUUCUUACUGAAGCGCGUAUCUGUCGUCGCCAGCGUUGUCAUGUUUUAAAUUUCCUUUGGUUUCUUCUUUCUCUUUGAAACCGUCUAGCAGCAAGCCUUGAUUAGCGUGGGAUUGGACUGUUGUGAAGUGCCUCAAUCCAUACUUCAAGGCCGCAGAUGGUUAGGUGUUUGUAUUGUAAUGAGAGUAAUGGAUAAUUGUUGUAAUGUGGGUAUUAUUGAUGAGGUGGAUACAUAUUAUGUUAAAUGGUCAUUUCAAUGAGUUUAAUGGAUAUUAGAAUAAUUUCUAACACUAA